rnacentral:rRNA from 1 species
CCUACGGGAGGCAGCAGUGAGGAAUAUUGGUCAAUGGACGAGAGUCUGAACCAGCCAAGUAGCGUGAAGGAUGACUGCCCUAUGGGUUGUAAACUUCUUUUAUAUGGGAAUAAAAUGUUCCACGUGUGGGAUUUUGUAUGUACCAUACGAAUAAGGAUCGGCUAACUCCGUGCCAGCAGCCGCGGUAAUACGGAGGAUCCGAGCGUUAUCCGGAUUUAUUGGGGUUAAAGGGAGCGUAGGUGGAUUGUUAAGUCAGUUGUGAAAGUUUGCGGCUCAACAGUAAAAUUGCAGUUGAAACUGGCAGUCUGGAGUACGGUAGAGGUGAGCGGAAUUCGUGGUGUAGCGGUGAAAUGCUUAGAUAUCACGAAGAACUCCGAUUGCGAAGGCAGCUCACUGGACUGCAACUGACACUGAGGCUCGAAAGUGUGGGUAUCAAACAGGAUUAGAUACCCCGGUAGUC